AAACCAGCACCUCAAGUGGUCAGGAUGAUUAUUGGGCCUAAAGCAUCCGUAGCCGGCUCUGUAAGUUUUCGGUUAAAUCUGUACGCUCAACGUACAGGCUGCUGGGAAUACUGCAGGGCUAGGGAGUGGGAGAGAUAGACGGUACUCGGGAGGAAGUGGUAAAAUGCUUUGAUCUCUCGAUGACCACCAGUGGCGAAGGCGGUCUACCAGAACACGUUCGACGGUGAGGGAUGAAAGCUGGGGGAGCAAACCGGAUUAGAAACCCCAGUAGUCC
rnacentral:rRNA from 1 species